GCCAUCAAUUUUAAUAAGCUUAUAUAAGUUCAAACACAAGCAAUCAAGACACAAAUUUCAAACAACAAUGUGCAAAAUAUAAAUUAAUGAAAGAUAAUCUAUCAUGUGUAUACAAAGAAAAAUAAAGCUUGAAGGAAGGGAAGAAGCACUAGACUACUAGCGGAUUUGCCUUAAGAGUAUGAAAUAUGAUUCCUUGCUCGGAUGAAGGAUAACGUCGAGUCUCAUUUUGAAACUCCAUUAGCGAGAGUUUUGAAUUAAGACUCCAUUUACUCUGAAAUGUACAUGUAAAGCAAAAGAGAAAUAAAGAUUAGAUACGGAAGUAAUAUAGCUGGUGGAAUCAAUUAUCAGAUGUAUGUUUAUUUGACACUCAAAAUCUUUAAUGAACCAAAACUGAAAGGAUCCAAAAUAGUAGAUCAAAGCAUUCAAUAGAUUCUCAAAAUAUGAAACUCUUAGGUGGAUCAAUAUGGACAAUUGCAUGCACAUGAACUAAUAAAUCUCAUCAUAAAACUUCAAACUAUUAUAUCUUAACAAGAGGCUAACGGUUAAAGAAUGUAAACAAAGUCUACCCCAACAUAACAUUUGUCAAGAUAUUUCCCGAAGGAGAUGAUUUUUAAGGCAUACCAAAUGUAUCAAGCAUAGAAAUUAUUGAAGAGCCAACUAAAUUUUGAGAUGCCAUCCAUUCAAGACUUCUCAGUGAAUGUUCUUGAACAUAUAUAAUUAGAUUAGUACUACUAGAAUCUUACCCAAACCCAAAAAUAUCGGCGGCAAAAUAGAGAAUUUCUAAUACCAUGGUCUCACUAUACUUGAACUAAAAAAGUACAUAUUUCGUGUAUAGUAUUCUGUCUAGCAAGAAGGAGAGCCUUGGAGUAACUGGUAAAGUUAUUGUCAUGUGACCAGGAGGUCACGGGUUCAAGCCUUGGAAACAGCCUCUAGCAGAAAUGCAUGGUAAGAUUGCGUACGAUACACCCUUGUGGUGGGACCCUUCCCCGAACACCGCGCAUAGCAAACAAUAAACUAACACGUAGUCAUAUUUUAUCUUAAGUGGACAUCUAAAUUGAGAUUUCUAAGUUAACAAAAUGUAUUCAGUAUUCUAAAGCACCACAAUAGGCAUAUAGUAAAAGACGAAAUAUUGUUAUAAACAAGUGUCCUAGAAAUAUCAAACAAACACAAAACCAUGAAAGACGAACAAGAAACAUAGGGAACAACUAAUUUAGUAUUAGUGAACAACCAAAGCCGAUCAUAGCUUCAAAAUACUAAAUCAUAAGCAUAUUUUAAGGAAGUAUUAGAGUCAGAAGGACAAAAAUCAACACAAAAUCGACCAAGGCAAAAGUUAAAAAUCGGGGAGACUUUUAAUUACUCCAAAAAUACUAAAAACUGAAGUUUAAAGCUUUCUUAAUGAAGAGGGAAACUAACAGCUAAUUCGAAAAGUUUUGGAGUAAAGAGGUGGCUGAAAAGCUUUUUCAAGACCAAAGAGAUGACCAAAACAGAAAGGAAUUCCGCUCAGUCGAGAAACAAAAUAGAGUAAAGCAAACAAGUAUAUUUUUUAGCGUGAAAAGGAGUAAUAGCUUUCUGAGUUGUAGGAGCAAUGGCUGCCAAAAAAUGUCCUUAAAUGGAUUAUGAUCGCAAGUAUCUAUAAAGAGAAAUUAGAAUUCUUCAACUUUUGAGAAAACUUCUUGAAUUCAAAAUUUAAAUUCUUGAAAGGCUCGAUUGCAGGUGAUAAUGAUGAAAUCCGAAAAUAAAAAGAUGGAUUUUUUCCCUUUCAAUUGACGUGAAGGAAGAAAGAAACGGUUUUGAGGUGGAGGAUUUGGACCCGUCGUUUGAAAAGGUAAUGACCUCAAAAUUCAAAGGUCUUUCGAUUUUCUCCGCUUCUCCUAGAUGAAAGUGAUACAAAAGAGCUUUUGUAGCUUUGAUUUGAGAAGACAAAAGGUUAUGGAGAGAGAAAAGUGAAGUGACGGGGUAAGAAAAGAGAAAAAAGUGAAGGGGAAAGGCUAAGACCAUCGAAAUUCGCCAUUAUCCAGUGGUCUGGGGGUUGGUCGAUGUUUGCUGAGAGUGAGAGAAGAGGGUUGAUGUUUUGGUAGAAGUAGAGCAUAGAAGUGAAGGAGUAUUAGGCAUUAAGGGACUGAUUUAGGCUGCAUUAGUGAUUUUUAACAUUCACAGAUCUGAAUCUGAAUGCACAUCUGAAUGAUUAAGAUGUUGUCUUUGGAUUUGAAAUUGAAUGAUUAAAAUUGUUUGUUUUUCAACAAUGUACAAAAAAAAAUUAUUUGUGUAUAUAAUAAAAUAAAAAAAUAUAAUUCAAAUAAAAAGCUAAUUAUAUAUCAAAAAAGUAUGUAAUUUAAUACAACAAAAUUAUUAUUUGAUUUGAAAAAAAUAUUUAUGUUUGUUAGUGAUAAUAAAGAUGGUUUAUAAUGAUGGUUGCAGUGACAAUGAUUGAUGUUAAUAAUUAGUAAUAUUGGUGGUGAUAGUUUUGACGGUUGGUAUUGUAGUGAUUGUUAUGAUGGUGGCGGUUGAUAGUAGUGGUGGUGGUGGUGAUGUGACGUUGCUUGAUGUUAGUAGUUGGAGGUGUUGAUUGUGAUGGCUGAAAAAGGAAUGUAUGAUGGUUUGACAAUGUGUUGGUGCUAGUUGGAGAUGUUGUUAAUUGUGAUGGUGGAGAUGGUUGUUAGUAAAGAUGGUUGAAGUGAUAGUAGAAGUGAUGUUACUAGUGACAAUUGUGGUGGCGGCCAAAGAAUGUGUGGAGGUUAUGAUGUAUUAGUGGUAUUUAGCGGUGGUGCUAAUUGUGAUAAAUGAGUUGGUCGAUAGUAGAGAUUGACCGAUAAUGGUUGAUGAUGGUGGUGCUGUUGACGGCGGUGGUGGCGGUAAAUAUAAGUAGAGUAAUAGAGGUAGUAGGUGUGGUAGCGGUUGAUAAUAGUGGUUGGUAGUGAUAUUAGUUGUCGAUAGUGGUUGUGAUGGUGGAGGUGGUUAGUAGUGGUGGUGGUGGUUAACAAUAGUGGCGGUGGCAGAGUUGGUUAGUGAUGGUGAUUGAUGAUUAUGAAUAAAGUGAUGGUGAAUAUUAUCCAACACCAAAAUUCCUCUUCAGACCUGUUAAGACUUGAUUCUAGAUCUGAAUGAUUAAGACCUAUUCAGACUUAUUAAGAGCUGAAAUCUUAAUAAAAAAUAAAUGCAUUUAAUGGUCUGAAGUCUGAACCAUUCAGAUUCAGACCUCCAUUAAGUGCAAACAAAUGAGCCCUUAGUUAGGAGUGAAUUUGGGUCGGGUCAGGUUUUAGCAUUGGUUGGACAGGAUGGUUAGGUUGAUUAGGUUUAGGUAAAUUAGAUAUAAAAUUGGCCCAAGUGUUGAAGUAUCUUGGGGGCUUUACCUUUUUCAUUUAGGUGUACGCACUUCACGGUGUUUAGGUAUAUGCGUUUUCUGCAUAUACCUCACUUUAUUGAGUUCAAACGUUAUACUAAAUAGGAUAUUUGUUUAAAUAAUAAAGAUGAAUAGAAUAAUUAAAUUCAACAUUUUUUGGAAAAUUUAUUUAAUUAAACCUAACAUUUACCAAAAAAAAUUCUCAAAGCCAAUGGACAUUCAUUUUCCACCUGUAAACUGCAACAAAACAAUAUGAUGAUAGAGACAUCAAAACAAUAUAAUUAAAUCUAGCUUUUACACAAAAUUUUCUCAAAGCCUUCUGACACUCAUCUAGCACCUGUAAACUAUAACAAAAUAAUACGACAAUAGAGAUAUCAAUAUAAUACAACUAAACUUUACCUUUACACAAAGAUAUAAAAUAAUACAAUUAAGCCUAAUCUUUACCUAAAAAAAUUCCUCAAAGUCGACCGACAUUCAUCUACAACAUUUAAAUUCAAAUACGGCCUUUAAACUACAACAAAAUAAUACAAUAGUGAUCACAAAACUUCAGUUUUGAUGAAAAUAAUUCUUGUAUGAGCGAAAAUUUUGACACUAAAGAAUGACUUGAAUGAAAACAAAGAAGAUAGAUAUAUAUAUAUACACACACAUGUUGAUACGGGUGUACCAAGCUGUCCAACAAGUGGGGUUAAUGAUCUGAUAAUUCUUUGGGAUUUGAUUAAAUUUGUGCCCUUUUUUGUAAUAUUGCUAGGUAGAGUUGAUCAUUUAUAGGGAUGUCAUUCAUGAGAGCGUUAUUUCCUUAAGUUGACUAAUUUCUUUACAUAUUUCUUUUAAUUCUUUUUCUAUGUUAUUUAUACUAAGAAAAUUUAUAUCCUUAUUUUUUAUUACUUUAAUUUUUCUUUCUAGUUCUAUUUGUUGAUUUUUUAGGAAAUCAAAGUUCUGUUCUAUUUUAUCUAACAGUUUCUUUUGUUUAAUUUGCAGGUUUUUCAAUACUUCUAGAGUCUUUAGUAUUUUACUGUCUUCUCUUUGUACUGCUUCUCCUAGAUUUAUUAUGAGAUCUGUAAUAGUAUUUAGUUGAGAAUCUUCCUCAUGAAAAAUAUGUUCUCUGUUACCAAAAUUACAUUUAAUUAAUGAAUCAUCUUUUAUUCGUCUGUGUCUCUUUUCUGCUUUUAAUUGCAAAUCUAGAUAUUCUAUUUUCUUGAAGAAAUCUAUUGUAAUGUUCUUAUCCUAGCCAAAAAAUCUCUCUGUUGCAUUCUUCUCUAAUUGAUUUUAUUCUAAUAUUUCAAUAAUUUAUACAAUAUCCAAUCCGUUCUAAUUUAUUUUUUAGCAGGAUUAAGUGGUCUACACAGCCUAAAAGUUUUUCGUGAUCUAAAAAUAUAAUUGCUUUUGGUAAAUCUACUGAUUCUACUACUCUUAUUUCUUCUAUUAAAUUUUAUUCUUUUUUUAGAAUUUUGUUUAAAUGUUUUAAGUUUUUAUAUAAGUAAUUGUAUGGUCUUUGAACUUGUCUAGCAAACGGAUGUGUUUUCAUGUACUUUUACUUAUUUUUAUUCUAAAGGAGUAUUUACUAUGUUACACCGUUUAUUUAGAUAACUUAUCCUUCUAUUGUAAUAUUCUAUGUCGCUUCUAAUUCUAUGUAAUUCUCAUGUUAUUUCACUUAAGUAUUCUUGAAUGAUUCUAAUUGUGAUGUUUCUAGAGUUGCUAAUAAUUUCAAAUAGUUACUCAAGACUAUUUCUAGUUCUACUUUGUCUGCCCUGCUUUUUAUUUCUUCAUUUAAAUACCAAUAUCUUAAUCGUAAAUUGUUAGCAAAAGGAUGUCUUUUCAUUAAAUAUUGUUUCUAGACUUAAGGUGCUUUAUCAAUUCGUACUCUAGGCCAGAUAUUAUAGUGAUUAGAUUAUCUAGUUUUCUCAAAUCUUCUUUUGUACUAUUUAAUUAGUCUUUUAUAUUUUAAGUAUAAAUUAUACAAAUUAUUCUCGAUUUCUUUCAACGAUCUUGUAUUUCUAUGAGGUGUUCUCAUUAGGCCAAAUAAAAAGGAUACUUUACCCUUAGUUCGUCUGUAAUGUAAAAUAUUUGGGUUUUGACUUCAGAUAAUCUAUUAUCUACUUGGUGUAGUUCUAUCCAAACUUCUUCUCUUGAUUCGGGAGAGAUCUCAAAUAAUCUAAUAAGUAACUGUCUUUAUUUUAUUAAGAUGUGAUAUAAGUUUAUAUAUUCUUUCUUUAUAUUUCUAUUAUACCAGUAAUAUUCUGAAGUUAAUAUUAUUAGUUUUUCGUAGGGUCUUGAUUUUCUUUUCUCAGUUCUUGAUAUCAUAUAUAAUAAAAUCUCCUAGAAUGUUAGGGCUCUGAUACCAAUAAAAAAUAAAUAAUAAUAAUAAACAGAGAUAACAAUAACAAACAGAUAAUAAUAAAAAGAGUAGACAAAAUUGGAACAAGAAACAAAUAAUUAAAGCAGAUAAGCAGGUAUGAGAAAUAAAAGCAGAGUUAAAUCGGAUGUUUUAUAAUAUGGUGUAAAUCCUACUCAGUACUCCAUUCUUCGUUGUCCUUAUCCUAGUGUAAGCGGACAAGUUAUAAAGACCAAAGUAUAUUUUCUCCCAACAAAAUAAAUUAUUUUUUGCAUUUUGAUAUUUUGAUUUUUUUUAUUUACACCCUGUUCAUCUCUUUCUCUUCAAUUUUAGGUAUUUAGCAAUGGCUUCUUUAAUCACACUCUGGGAUGACACAACAUUCCUUUCAAAUCGUUAUUGGACUUUUUAAAUUCCGUAAUAAUUUAUAGAUUAAUCCAUCAUUCUUGCUAAACACUGAGAGAAUACCCAUAUACUAAGGGUAUAUUUAUAAGUAAAUUACACAUUUUUACAAGAUCGAAAAACUGGCGGUAAUCCACAUGGCUAUCCAGAUCUAUAAUAAAAAACACAUUACUUCUAUAAGAUCGGAAAGCUAGCGAUAAUCCGUACGACUAUUAGAUUUAUAAUAUUUAAAACACAUCUUGAAGAAAAUAUUAACUUGAUAUAAUUCAACAUAAUUUACAAAUUAGGAAGAAAAAUACAAUGAUCUUACGUAACGACUACUUACAUGUCUUAAGGAAGAAGUGAGAUUUCCUUUUCGGGAGUCCCCUGAAAGCUAACAACUACCGGAAUGAAGAAAUAAAAUAUUAAUAUACACUACACACACUCUUUUUUUUAACAAACUAAGAAACUUUAUGAACUUUAGAAGACUAUUUUUCUCACUCUUGAUUUUUCUCUCACUUCUCUCUAGCUAUAUGUCUUUAAGUCAUCCAUAAGGUGGUAUUUAUAGGCAUUAGUGGACUUCAAAUCCUUACUUCAAUAUGCUUGAUAAAAACUUUGGCAAGUUGAGUGGGCCCCAUGGUCACAUGGCUAUGUUUUCAUUUUAACUUCUCUCCGUCCAUUUGUUUCCUAUUUAUUCAUCUGUUAUAUCAUUACAUACGUCUCAUAUUUUGUCUUUUUGUAGAUAUCGUCAUUUCUUACGUAUUCAAAUUGUGUAACACUUCUGAGUCAAAAUCCAUUCCUGAAUCAUCGUCUACAUUUGGGUCUUGGGAGGACUAUUUUUCUCACUCUUGAUUUUACUCUCACUUCUCUUUAGCUAUAUGUCUUUAAGUCAUCCAUAAGGUGGUAUUUAUAGGCAUUUGUGAACUUCAAAUCCUUACUUCAAUGUGCUUGAUAAAAACUUUGGCAAGUUGAGUGGGCCCCAUGGUCACAUGGCUAUGUUUCUACUUUAACUCCCCCCGUCCAUUUGUUUUCUAUUUAUUCAUCUGUUAUAUCAUUACAUACAUCUCAUAUUUUGUCUUUUUGUAGAUAUCAUCAUUGCUUACGUAUUCAAAUUGUGUAACGAUUCUGAGUCAAAAUUCAUUCUUGAAUCAUCGUCUGCAUUUAGGUCUUAAGCGAAUUGAUCCAUGGCCGAAUGUAGUCUCGAUCAUACUCGUCAUUGUCUCCAUCUGAUAGUCCCAGUCUUGUUCCCAUUCUGGAUGAUCUUAUUUCUUCUCUUGGAAUUCUGGAUCUUGGCUACGGCGGUUCUGGAUUCAUUGCUAUUUCUUUGGGCAGUUGUUCUAUUAACAAUUUUUUUAUUGAAUCUACUACUAUUUUUUCUAUAUUUCUUUUUUUUAUUGCUUUUUUUUCUUAAGAAAAAAACUUUCUUAGUCUUGGAAGAGCUUCCUUAGUCUGUUGUCUGGGUACCGGUGGUCUUGAAACUGGCUGGGAGUAUUCUCCCUACACUUUUUGGCAAUGUGUCAGCCAUCAACAGAUUUGAUGAGUCCUUACCAGCUACCGUUUGAGCUGGACCAGCUUUAUCAUUACCCGAUACAGUAGGUCUUUCUGCAUUCAUUGGGGAAUGCACACCCAUUAACGGAUUUAAGAAGUAUUUACCAGCUACCGUUUGAGAUGGACUAGCUGUAUCUUUACCCGAUAUAGUAGGUCUUUCCAGUUUUGAAUAAGUUGGAGAACUUUUUGGGAUUAUUAGAGUCUCAAAUUUUUUUUUUGAGUCUGUUGUAAUAAUUCAUAAUGAAAAAUCUUUAUACGAUCUUAUAAAAUACUUAUGUGUUCCGACAUUUGUCCCUUUUCAUUUAUAAGAUUCUCAUUGUCUUGUCUUAAAAUUUUAUUGGCGUGAUUUAUUCUUUUAAAAGCUUCAGUCAUGAAGGAACGAUGAUCACAAAAUAUAAUUUUAUUUAUUUUUUUUAAUAUUAUAUUAGGGAACUGCUUUUAUAUCUAGUCUAAGAGCUGGAGUAAUAUAAUAAUUUGGCCCUAGAUUUUUGCGGGCAUAAUAUACUGCCUCUGUUAGAUUAUUAAAGUCUUUAUAGAGAGAGGUUGUAUAAUCUUUUACCGAAUCCAUUACCUCUAUCCAUGUCUGAAAUACUCCCUGUGUCUUUCCCCUAAGAACAACAUAAAAUUUAGAUCUGUAAGUGUUGUUUUUUUCAGAAAAAUAAUAGCUUAAAGCAUUUAGAACUAAAAUGAAAUAUCUAGUGUCUCUAGGUGUCCUGUUGUAAGAAAUUCAUAAAUUAUUGAUAAGGCAGAUCUGUGGUUUGUCCACCCUUACAUCUGUUCUAAGUUUGAAAGUUAAAUUGAAUGGCUCAUAACUAAUGAGAUUGUGAGGUCCGAAGAUCAUCCUUUCCAAUUUUGGAUGUUCUAACAUUGUUAGUGGCAUGUAAUGAGUAUUGCUUAGUAGUUUCUUUAAGUAGUCUUGAGAGGGUGAGGUUUCUGCCUUUCCCUUGUCUUUGCCUGUAUACAUACUGAAACAAAAAUUGUUAGUUGUUUUCUUUUAUUAGUCUACUUAGGUUGUUAUAUUUUCCUUUAAUAUGUUCUAAAACAAUGUUGUAAAUGGAACUGGCAUCAAGGAAAUUUAACCACCUCCUUUUACUACUAUUCUUCUCUUUUAUUUUUUGAUAGAAUUUUACUAUAGCCUCUCAGUUUGUUCUUACUAAUAUUUCAGGCUUAUUUAAUAUAUAAAGUUUAAAACUAUUUAAAUCGUAAAUUACUGCUAGAGUUUCUACAUCUACGCUAUUUAGAUUGCCUGUUUCUUUAUAUUUUCCACUUGCAUAAGCACAAAGUUUUUCUUGUUUCUUCUCGCUGUAUUUAUUGGGUUUUGCCUUUAAUAUUGCUCCCCAUCCUUGAAGGCUUCCAUCUAUCUCGACUAUUAAAUAGUCCAUUUCUAAUGGUAAUGUUAAGUCUGGGAUAUCUUAUAUUAUGUGCUUAAGUUGUUGGAUUAAUUUUAUGUCUUUCGCAUUAAAAGUCUUUUGUCCUGUUGAUCCUGUUUUAGAAUAUAACGGUCCUGCUACUUUUUCUAAAUCUUUAAUAAAAGCUCUAGCAUAAUUUGAUAAUCCUAAAAAAUUUUAUAAAUCUUUAGUCUUGUCUAAUCUAUCUAGCAUUUCUAAGACUUUUUUAGCUAUGUGCGGUUAAAUUUUUAUUCGUCCAUCUCCAAUAACUACUACUAAAAAAUUAAUACUAUUUUGACAUAAUUUCAUUUUCUUUCUACUUAUUAUUAUUCUAUUAUCUACAAAUAAUUUAAAAACUUGUUGUAAAUGUCCUAAAUGUUCUCUCAUAUUAUGACUACAUUAUUACUACAGACUAGAAUAUCAUCUACAUAAACCAAUACAAAUUUUUUAUGGUCUCCAAAAAUACUAUUCAUUUUUCUUUGGAAAAUUGGAGGAGAUGUCUUUAGUCCGAAUGGCAUAACCAGUCACUUAAAAUGUCCUUCUGUACAUGUAAAGGUUGUAUAUUCUAUACUCUCUUCAUGCAUCUUAAUCUGCCAAUAUCCGAAUUUACAAUCAAAUUUGCUAAAUAUUUUUCUUCUUUGUAUUCUGUUUAUUAAUUCUGUUUUGUCUGGUAACUUAUACCCAUCCAUUACAGUAUUAUCAUUUAACUCUUGUAAUUUAUUACCAUUAUAGCUUUUCCUCUCGCUAUUCCACUAUGGUUUCUUACUAUGAAAGUUGUUGAUCAAUGUCUUGAUUUGGAUCUUCUAAUUAUCCCUAAUUCUAGUGGCUCUUUUAUUUGUAUUUCAAAGUCUUUAAGAUCUUCAUUUGUAGCUUCUAUAGAUGUUUUUUUUUAUAGUAUAUUCUGAAUUAAUUAUUUCUAAUUUACAAGUAAUUCAAUUGGAGUCCCAAUGUUGCAAGGGUUUUUCUCCAAUUAUCUCUAGUUUGUUUAGGAUUUGUAUUAUUUUAUCUAGGUCUUUCUGGUCUUUGAUUACCCCUAUCUAUUGUAUACCUUUCCCAAAAUUGUAUAAUUCUGUAUCUGGUUCUAUUAAUGUGUAAUCUUUUUCUAGUUCUUCUACUGUUAAUAGAUCUUGUAAUUCCUCAUACAUUAUUACAUUUUUAUUAUCAUUACAAGUACAAUUUUCUCCUUUAUCACAUUUUAGAGUUUUUUCUGAUUUUAUUUGAUCAUUUGAGCUUUCAUUCUUUCUUUUAUCUUAUCUUUAAGGAAACGAUAUUUAGUUAGCAGGGGUUGUGCCUGUACUGGUGAGUGGGUGAUAUUACUAGUGAAUAUUACCCAAUUUUUUGUAACAAAACAUCUGUCAUUAUUUUGCAUCAUAAAAUCUAAUCCUAAGACAAAGUCUGCUUUUAUGUUUAAAUCUCUAACUAGUAUUUCACUAAGUGUAUAUGAUGGUUGGUAGAAUAUUUCACAAGUAUUAAUAAAACUUACCUUUGCUUUUGGUAUAUAGUCAGUAUAGGUAUUAUAGGUCCCAUCCAUUUGCAUGGAUUGUUGAGGUUUUGAUAAUUUUUUAAUUAAUUUUAUGGUAAAAUUCUACUAUUUAAAAUGCUUUUUGUACAUCUUGAAUCAACUAUAGCUAAUGUUUCGAACUCAUAAUCUUGAAAUUUUAUUCUUGCUAAAACUUUGACUGUACUUAUCUUCUUUUCUUCAUUACAUACCAUUCCUUCAAAUGAUAACUUCAUUGAUUUUUUCUGUUUAACUUUAUUAUUUUCAACAGAUGUAUUUAAUAAGUCUAUGUAUUUAAUAAUUCUAUCUCUACUAAAUCUUCUUCUCUGAUUAUCUCUUUACUGUAUACUCUUAUCUCUAAUCUUUUUAGUCUUUCUUCUAAUUCCAAUAUCUUGUCUUCUGUUGUUCUGGUUAUUGGUUCCUUCGUGUAGAAAUUAUUUAAAUUAUUUGUUGAUUUUGGAAUCUCUAGGAUUUCUGAGGUUUUUCCUAUGCAUUUUAUGCAUCCUUCCUUAUAACAUUUCCUACAUUUUGCCCUUUUGUUUUUACUUGGAAAUCAUUUACAAAAACAACACUGGUUACUAUCUAAUCCUUUUCCUUCCUCAAAUUCAUGUUCACAUUCUUCUAUGAAAUUUACUAAAUCAUGAUAGUCUGAGUUCGUCUUUUCUAAUCCUAUUUCAUUUAUAAACUCUUUUUCUCCAGAAUCUGAAGAAUCAGAUUUAUCUUUUUCUUCUUCAAACAAUUCCAUACUCCUGAUGGAGUAUAUACUUUCAUUAUCUGACAUAUAUUCAUCUAUAUUUAUCAGACUUUCAUUUACAUCUUCUAUUAAUUGUGCAUUCCUGGAUCUACUAUUAUUUUUUUAGACAAGUAUUUGCUAACUGCUCUAUACUCCCGCAGGUAAAGCAUUCUAAUCUAUUUUUGUAGGUUCUACUGGUGUUAUAUUUUCUUACAUGUUUAUUCUUAUCAAGGUAUGGCUUUCUUGCGUUUGAUCUUCUUAAGUAAUAUUUCUUCCUAGGGCGAUAGUCUUUACUAUAUGCCUUUUUAUAUUUUUUUAUUUUUAUAAUCUUGGUCAUAAUGUUGUGUAGUAUAUAUGUUUUUACAAAAUUUUGUAUCACUUCUUUUUAAUUAUUUUUGUAUCUGUAUAUUUGUAUAUUUUUCUUGUAAUAUAUCCAUUACAUGUUGUAUUCUUUGUCCUAUUGACCAUUGGUUGUUUGGGUUUUGUAUUACUCAUUCUUUUUUGGACCAUUUUUCUUCUCUCUCUCUUCCUAGAGCCCUUGGUAAUUUUUAAAUAAUCUAGCUCCUAGAGUCUGAUCAAACGAGUUUCCACUAAUUGUACAAUAAUAAAAGUAGUUAUUUAGAAAUUUUUUAAUCCUUGACCAAUUAUUAAUACUUAGUUGUUCUAAAUUUAUUAGGGUUUUUGGUUGCAAUACUACUAAUCCACUAUUGGGAUCUUCUCCUAUUAGUAGAGUAUGUACUUUGUUUCAAAAUUGUAUGGAUUUGAACCUAGUUCUAUUAAUUCCUGAAAAUCUUGUGGGAAUAAUGUCUUAUAUGUUUUCCAAAGUGCUUUAGUCCUUUCUCCUAGAAAUGUUUCUAAAUAUCUAUGUAUAAUUUCUGCAUCUGGUUCUUGAUUCCCCUGUAUAUGUUGUAUGUAGUCUGCUACAACUAUAUUUUUUCAUAUGUCUAUUACAUUAUUCCAUGCCUGAGGAUCAUGAGCUGAUAAGUUUAAAUUUUUUUCUUUAUUACCACCUUCUUGUAAUCUAAUGGGUUCUUUUAUUGACAUUCUUUUUCCUCUAGGCUUUAUGUUUUGUUCAACUUAAGUGUCUAGGUUUAUUCUAAAUAUCCUAUAUCUUGGUAAAUUUUCUGUUGUUAUAUUUACUCUUUGCAUUCCAAUUGUUCUCUGGAAAGGGCUUGCAGUACUUGCCGCACUUUCCAUAAAUUCUUUUAUACUUUCAUCUAUACUAUAAAUCGAUUCUGAGUCUUCGUAUUUUUGUUCUUUUUUAUGUGUAUAACCAUAAUUAUCUGUUCUUAGCUCACAAUUUACAAAAUGUUUUUUAGCUUUGGCGAGAUUAAGAUUUUCCAUUUUAUAGCCUAUACAUUUGAACUUUCUGUCGUUAUUUAUUUCGUAUAGGGCAUCUACUUUUAUUAUAGCUUUAUUCACUUCAAAGUCUUCUUCUACUAUUUCUUUAUUCAUAAAAUUAGUAUUUUCACACUCUUCAAUUUCUUCAUCAGUUUCUUUUUCAUUUGUAUAUUGGUAGUCUGUGAAUCUUACUAAAGUUUCUCCUUUAGCGUUUAAAUACAUUAAAUGAUCGGUUCGCUUUUGUAUUUCUUUCUUAGUAAAUUUUCUAAGUUCCGUUCUAGUCCUGCAUAGUCUUCGGAAUUUAUCUUUAGGGGUUUCAUUAAUUUAAUACAUUUAUUUCCCAUUAAACUUACUACAUCAUCUAUUCUUAGUCUAAAUUUUGUACUACUAUUAGUGGCGAGUUUUCAACUAGAAUGGAACUUAGAAAAAUUUACUAAGAAAGAAAUACUAAAGCCAACCGAUAGAUUUCCCAUUUUACAGCCUAUACAUUAGAACUUUCUAUCGUUAUUUAUUUCGUAUAAGGCUUCUUCUUUUAUUAUAGCUUUAUUCACUUCAAAGCCUUCUUCUAAUAUUUCUAUAUUCAUAAAAUUAGUAUUUUCAAACUCUUCAAUUUCUUCAUCAGUUUGAGAUGAGCAUCAAUUAUAUUUUCACAAUAAGUAAACCAGAUUCUUCUCUAAUUUAACAUGCAUCGUAAUAUUUAUAGAAGUAUUUUCUUAAUAGAUUCCUAUUUUUGGAGUAUGUUUCAAUCCUAUUUUAGCAGUAUUUCUCUAACUGAACAGUACAAAGGAAAAUAUUAAUUGAUUCUCCUCCCAUAUAUUUUAAGAGUCUCAUAUAUUUUAGGAGUCUAGUUAAUAGAAUAAAAGUAAUUAAAUAAUAAAUUAGCGAAAAUAGUGAAAAGACAGUUUUGUCUAAAGGUGAGUCUUUUAAUGAAGGACCAAAAGUUCAAAUCACUUUUUUAAGGGUAUUCACACUUUUAAUAUAUUUAGAUAUAGAUAUAGAUUCUUUUAAGCUUUUAAUUUAAUAACUAGCACAGUAUAUACUAAUAAGAUACCGAAAAUAAAUUAUUAGUGUUUAUAACUUUUCGCUAACGAUUUAACAUAAAUAUUAGUUAUAAAAUAUUGAUUUAUAACUAAUUUAAAAAGUAGAAAACUUGAAAUAAUGCGACAACAACAGGCAAAUUUUAAAAAAAUGAGGCGUAGACUAAUAAUAUUAACUUUGAUACUAAAUUUUUUAAUUUUAUUAGUAAUUAUAAAAUGUUUAAUUUUUUUAAGCUUCUAAUUUAAUAACUAGUAUAGCAUAUACUAAUAAGAUACCGAAAAUAAAUUACUAAUGUUUAUAACUUUCCGCUAAUAAUUUAACAUGAAUAUUAGUUAUAAAAAUAUUGAUGUAUAACUAAUUUAAUAAGUAGAAAACUUGAAAUAAUGCGACAACAACAGGCAAAUUAAAAAAAAUAAGGCGUAGACUAAUAAUAUUAAUUUUGAGACUAAAUUGCUGAAUUUUAUUAGUAAUUUUAAAAUAUGACAAUGUAAAAUAAUGGUGCAUGAUUUAUUACUAACUAAAAGCUCAAAUAAAUGUAAUCUGAAGAAAGAAGGGCCAAAAUUGGAUGUCAACAGAGAAUAAGAAGAAGAAGAAGUUUGAAUGAUAAAUAAUGAUAAAAAUAAAGUGUAUGAUUUAUUACUAACUAAAAGCUCAAAUAAAUGUAAUUUAAAGAAAGAAGGGCCAAAAUUGUAUGUCAACACAUGAUGUUACUUUAGUUUGCUUCAAGUUUAAUCAAGAUUGUCCCUUUAUCACUGCAUUCACGUUUUGUAUUCUAUUAGCUAUUUCAUAUACUAAUUUAUUGUAAUAGGUUUUCUUAUAUGGAUAUAAUGAGCGAAUGAAUGCAGUUUGUUUUAAAUUCUAGUUUCACAUUAGAGUGAUAUGAUUUGAUGCAUUGAUAUGGUUAUUAUUUUCAAUCAAUUGUCCCUUUAUCACUGCAUUCACGUUGUGUAUUCUAUUAGGUAUUUCAUCUACUAAUUUAUUGUAAUAGGUCUUGUUAUAUGGAUAUAAUGAGUGAAUGAAUGCAGUUUAUUUUAAAUUAUAGUUUCACAUUAGAGUGAUAUGAUUUGAUGCAUUGAUAUGGUUAUUAUUUUCAAUCAAGAUAGUCCCUUUAUCAAUGAAUUCACAUUUUGUAUUCUAUUAGGUAUUUCAUUUACUAAUUUAUUGUAAUAGGUUUCCUUCUUUUAAAAAGCAAAUUCACUAAGUUAGAUGCCCAAGGCUAGUUUUUUUAUAUAUAUAUUAAAAGCAAAACUAAAAGAAAAAGUACAAGCAAUGGGGGCUAUACCUUGCCUUACUAAUCCUAUUGAGGCAUAACAAAACCUCUUCUAAUUAACAUGCAUGUAAAAAAUAAGAAGAAGAAAGAACUAAAUAUUCUAUGAUCAUCACAGAGUUAAUAACCAACUCUAUGAUGAUAUUACAAAUGAUAAUACUUAUGUAGUGAAAGAUUAAAAUAAGCAAAAGUGUGGAGUCAGGUCCGUGUUUUUUUAAAAAUUGAAAAUCUUUAAGAAGAUGUAGCCCUAUAAAGAUUCGAUUUUUCACCUUGUCUUCUUCCUCCAACCAAUCUAAAAUAUCUUCAUAUUUCUUUGUCUAUUGAAUCUUGUUGAUAUAAUUGAACCUUGUUUCCUUCUGCUUUGCCACCCUCAUUGGUAAUUGUCUUAGAAUAGCCUCUUCAGGCACUUUACCAUCCCAACUAAGUUUUCUUUCAUGAAUUUUCUUUUUCUUGAAUCCUUUACUUUGUUGCCUAGGUGAAAAAUCUUCAUCCCUAGCCACUUUAGCAACGCAUUCAUCCAAUACUUCAUCCUCAUCUUCUUCGUCAAAUAUGCCAACCCCUAAAUCACCCUCAAAUGCUUCCAUUGGAUCUUCUACCAAAUCUCCAAGCUCAUACCUCUUGGCUUGGAACCCUUUGGCAGGAUUAUCCAUAAGAUUCUAAUGUGUACUUGUUUGAGCCACAAGUUGUUCCGUGGCUAAAGAUGGAAGAACCAUUGCAUAACUUGGCAUAAAUUCUGAUGUUGCUGGACUCAACUUGCUACAUGUUAGAGGAGAUGAGGCCUGCUUCUCCUCCUCAGCCAUAUCUGCCCAACUCUUUAUAUUUGUACCACUUUUUUGGCCACUCUUGGCUUCAACUUUGUUAUUUGAACGCGUCGGAGUUAAGACCACUACCCCAUCCACAUCUUGUUCAUUCCCCUUGAACAAUAAUUUAUGUCUAAAGUUAUCUCGUUGCUCACCAAUUGACUCCAUAGAUGGAGAAGGGAUCUCACACGUUGAAGCAUCCAAUUUAGCCAUCAACGGCUUCAAGACAGAUACGGGACAAAUCAAGUUUGCAACGUGUUGUUACAUUAGCAUAUUUGUUACUUCUGGAAGUGCAAUUUGACAUUUAGGACUGCCUGAAUCAGAUUGGUGCUCAUUUUUAUCUAAAAGAGCCUCAAAGGUGGUAGGAUCCACAACAUCCUUUGUUGCAAUGCAUUGUUUCUUUGCCACAUUAAGUUCUUUACUAAUUUGAGGACUAACAGAUUGUUUGAGUGAAAACAUUGCCCAACCCUUAUCUCCAACAUCAUCUCUAGCAUUGUUCAACUCCAUAUCCUUCUUAGAAACCAUAAAACUCUUAGUCCCGGCACUUGUAUCCACAAUACUAGGCAGAUUUUGAAGAGCUUUCUUUUCAGCUUGUGUUUUUUUCGAUAAGUUUUCGGACACCCUAGCCAAAGUUUAACCUACUAGAAUAUCCCCCAUGUUAACUCUAUUUUGUUGUUUCUUAAUAUUUAGAUAAUACGUGCAUCUCCUUGCAAUUUUUCAACAGAAGCUCCCCCAAUCUCCAUUGUCACAUCAUCUUUUUUUUGGAGCACUAUUUUUUUCAAUUAACAAUCGAUACUUCUUUUCAUCGUGACCUUGGUAUUUACAAUGGGUGCAAUAUUAAGGUAAAUUAUCAAACACCACCUCCUGAAACUCCUUAAAUAUUUUGCCCGUAACUUUGUCCACACUUUGAAGUCGAAUAUGAUCCAGAUGUUUGUCCACUAAGUCAAGAAUGACUCUAACCCUAGCCGUGCUCGGUCUUGAUCUCACUUGUGGGGCCUUGUCCACAGCAAUAGGUUUUCCAACUGUUGAAAUAAUGGAAGCAAAGACCUCUUAGAAAACAAAUUCGUCGACAAGUUUGGAAACAAAAUCCAUACUGUCGCACGUGAAGUCUCCUCCUUGGGCUUGAAUCCAAUAGUCCACGAAAAAAAUCCUAAUCUGAUGAUUUUUGCCGUUAUGCAUGAAAUAAUUCACAACUCAUGAUAAUCCAACCACAAAAUCAUCAUAUUGAUCCAUACGAAUAAGAAGUUGUGUUUGAGCAAGCAACCUGACAAGACAAUAUCCCUUAAUGCCGAGAAACUUAGGCAAAAUCGAUCUUAAAAUUGACAAAUCUGGUAAUCCCAUGGAUAAUUUAACUACUAUGGCUUGAUGAAGUCCAUCCUAUCUGGCGAAAGCUUGUCGUUCAUCCAGUGUAAAUUUUAACGUUGGAAUUCCAUGAACAACUUCAAUAGGUAUUAAACUAGUUUGUGAAAGAUUAAUAGUUGAUUGUGUUUGAUUUAACUUAUCAACGCAAUUAGAAUUUGUAUUGGUGUUUGUAGGUUUAUUUGUAGGGUUUUGGAGAAACUCUCCCACAGCCAAAGGCUGGGGAGAGACAGUGGCAAUCAUAGCUUAAUAGAUUUUCUUAUAUGGAUAUAAUGAGUGAAUGAAUGUAGUUUGUUUUAAAUUCUAGAUUCACAUUAGAGUGAUAUGGUUAUUAUUUUAGUGUAUUGGUUGCGGAGUGCAUUGGUCGUAAUCUUAUGAUUUAAUUUAAUAUUUUGGGCCUAAAUCAAAUGAUUUAAGGCUUAAAGUAAUUUAUUCUUACGGGAGAAGAACGAAACAGGGGUACGAACUUGUUUCUACAUUUCACUGCAUAAAGAAAAGAAAGGAGGGAACAAAUCCAUUUAUAAGGAAGAGAGACGAGUUGCGGAUUAACUCAAGCCUCACCGAAAAAAAAUGAAAAAAAAAAGGAAAGAGGGAAAAAAUUAUUUGUCCCAUUUUUAUAGAAAAUAAAUGCUUCAACGGUUAAUCUCUAACGAGGGCAUGGAUAAUACAUAUCUCGACAAAGGUCGCAACUUCGUGUUUCAUUAAAAGACAAGCAAUAAAAUAGCAAGGUCUCAUUACGCGCCUUGACCCAAAUAAUUUUCUUAAAAUAUAAUCUUUGGUUUAACCAAAUGAGUAGACUAAAUAUUUAGGUGUGAUAUCUUGAUUGAUGUAUGAUGAUGCUGAGGUCGCCACUAGGCGUCUCAGUUAAGACUAACAAAAGUGUAACAAAUUAAAGUGAACCAUAGGUAAAACAAUUUAUCCAAGAUUAAUUUAAGUCAAGUCUAAGUUGAUAAAAGUGACUGUCACAACCCGAGCAGAUACCCUGACAGCGAUGGCAUCCCGAACCAUUGAGGCAUGGGCGCCCCUUAUCUAUCUGACAAUCAUGCACAAUAUUCAAACAAUAAAAAGAAAUACGGAAGUUUUAACAUACGAAAACAUGGUCAAUACGAAAGGAAACUCUUGACACUCAAACAUCUGAAUCAGUCUGUGAAAUCUAAAACAAUUACAAGAAUCAACAUCCGUCUAAAAGAAAAACUUAUACAAGGCCCCCAGUCAAACCAUGAAUCAAAUAAAUAGCAAUGUUCCAUAAACCCGGCCUUUCGAAAUAGGGGAGGCUCAUCAACUGCAAAUCUCAGACACACCACCUACUGCUUAGCGGGACCCCGGACUGAGCCUCAGAUCCUAAAAUAUAGAGGGCAAUACAAUUGUACUAGUACGGAGAGCAAUCCAAAACAAAAAUAUAUUUUUACAUAAUAUAAGUGAGAGCAUUUCAUAAAACACAUGUCAUCUUAAAAUAGUUGAAAAUACAUGGGCAUAAUAUAAAUCUUUCAAAACAGAUUCUACAAAUCAUGACUCUACACUUUCUUCUCUUCUAAGCUAGAUGGUACAUCCUACAAUCUGUAAUUCCACGGGCUAUAUGGAAUCUGCCUUUGACUCAGCGGCCAAGCUCCCAAUCUAAGUUUGCCGCAAAGGUUGGAGUAUCUGCUUAUCUACUACACCACAGAGUCAUCAUCAACGUACGAUCUCCCUUUCGGGUAACAUAAACCCGUGUCGACAAAUCAUAGUUUUAGGCAAUGAGUCGUCUGACUCGUGCCUUCUUCGGGUAACCAUCUAACUCUCUUAAGCCCAAUUUUAUACUCUUUAAAACAUAUCUUCAUCUUAUAAUCGUUUUAUCUCUUAUCCUAUUUUCGGGCAUAUACCCCUGACUUGCAAGUUAUAUCACACUCUACUGCCCUCUUAUCGAUUCAAAAGAUAUUAUUGACCACCCAAAAGAUCUACUAAUUAAUAAGAGUUCAUAUUUUAAAAUAGUUGAAAAACAUGUACUUCUUCCUUCAACACUUUAUUUACGGUGGUCACCUUUCUUAUCAAGUUUUAAGCCAUUCUCAUGGGAAAACAUGACCAUUUACAAAACAAGUAAAAACAACCUCUCAUUUCCUCAUAUAAAACAGUAUAAUUGUACAUAUUAAUUCAUCAACAGACCCAAGCCUUUAGCAAUUCGCAUAAUUAAUUCACAACAUGUAUAACUCAAGGGAUUUCAUAGUAAAAAAAAAAAGGGAAUUACAGAUCCCAUGCUCUCAUAUAACUUCACAAUUCUGAUAUCACAUGAUCACACGAAUAUAAUUCGAGUUUUAAACACCAAUUUACAAUUUCUACAAUACUUCAUCAAAUCAUAGGAUUUCCAAUACAUAUUUAUCAAGAUCUUGAAACCAAUUUCACAUGAAUAUGUAUAUACUCUUUAAAUCAUGUUUAAAAAUAGUAAAUCCAUGCCCAUGAGGUUUAGGAUAGUCCACAUACCUUAGAUUACUUAUUUUGAAGAAUAGGACUUGAAUCUUGACUCGUUUCUUGGAAAUCUUGAACUUAAAGAUGGAUUCUUGAUCUUUGGGGGUGGAGUUAAGGUUUAGUUUUUUAGGGAAUUUAAGUAACUUUUGGCAUAAUAUGCCCUAAUCACGACUUAAUUUUGUGUUUAGGCUAAGUUAAGACGAGGGGAAAAGACUAAAAUACCCUCUUGAACCUAAAAAAUAUAUUAAAAUGAACUGGGCACCCGAUACGUUAGGCGAAGUGACGCAUCGGGCACCAGUACGACAGGUAUCACGAUGCGUCGAUAUCGCAUUGAGUUACUAUUUCUGAAAUCCAAACAUGUCCCUUCCCUCGUUCGAAAAAUCUGAAACUCCCCUGAGAGAUUCCUUUUACACCUCCAAAUAUGAAUCAACUCACUAAUCUAUGUCUCGGGGUCGGAAAGGUCAAUUUAGAACUCAUUGAACUUUAGGAGUUUAAAAUAUGACUUAAGUCCUUUUUAACACUUAGGAAAAUUUCAGGUUGUUAGCUUUUUAAGCUUACUACUAAACGUGGUAACAAUUCAAGAAUGCUAUGAGGUGUUACAUUAUCCUUCUCUUGGGUUCAUUCAUCCUCGAAUGAUGGCUCGAAACACAGAUAAGCACGACUUCAAAAACACUAAGGAAAAGAUAAAGAGAGUAGUAUAUGAUUUGAACCUUCUAUGUCGUCAUCCACAGUCUCAAAAAGGUUUGGGUGUCUAGUUUGCAUGUCAUUUUCUGACUCCCAAGUAGCUUCCUCAGCUUUUUUUAUUCUUCCACAACACCUUAACCAAAACUAUCUCCUUACUUCUUAAUUUCCGAACUUGGCGAUCCAUAGUGGCAAUGGGCUCUUCUUCAUAUGACAAGGAGUCUUUCACAUUGACCUCCUCUAUAGGCAAUACUAGGGAAUGAUCUCCUAUGCACUUUUUCAACAUGGACACAUGGAAUACUGGGUGCACGAAAGCCAAACUCGUGGGUAACUCUAACUCAUAAGCAACCCCGCAAACUCUUCUUACAAUCUAAUAUGGUCCUAUAUAACGAGGACUAAGCUUCCCUUUCUUCCCGAAUUGCAUGACUCCCUUCAUAGGGGAGACUUUUAAGAAUACCCAAUCAUCCACCUCAAAUUCUAAAUCUCUCCUUCUAACAUCGGCAUAAGAUUUCCGGCGACUCUGAGCAGCCUUAAGUUAUUCCCUAAUUAUCUUUACUUUUUCCAUCUCCUAAUGACAAGGCUGGGCACAAACAACCGGGUUUCACCCACUUCGUACUAUCCAAUUGGUGAUUUACAUCUCCCAUAAAGCACCUCAAAAGGAGCUAUCUGAAUACUAGAAUGGUAGUUAUUGCUGUAGGCGAAUUCUAUCAAUGGAAAAUGGUCCACCCAACUACCUUUGAAGUCAAUCGCAUAGGCCCUCAACAUAUCCUCAAGGGCCUGAAUGGUGCGUUCGGCUUGCCCAUCAGUCUGAGGGUGGAAGGCAGUACUUAGGUUCACUUAGGUGCCUAAACCCCGUUGAAAGGACCUCCAAAACUACGAAGAAAAUUGCGUACCUCAGUCAGAUAUAAUGGACACAAAAGCACCAUGCAAAUGGACUAUCUCUCGAAUGUAUAGCUUGGCAUAGUUAUCCCCCACAUAGUUGAUUCGUACAGGAAGAAAAUGAGCGGACUUGGUCAACUUAUCCACGAUCACCCAAAUGGAGUCAUAUUGGUUUAGGGACUUCAAAAUCCCCGUAAUGAAGUCCAUAUUAAUCAUCUCCCACUUUCACAUAGGCAAGGCUAUCUCUUGAGAAGUGCCACCUGGCCUCAAAUGUUCUACCUUAACUUGCUGAUAAUUCAUACACUUAGAAACAAAAUUAACAUCUCUUUUCAUAUUAUUCUACCAAUAGAUGUUCUUAAGGUCAUGAUACAUUUUCGUAGAUCCUGGGUGAACCACAUAUCUCAAAGUGUGAGCUUUAUCAAAAAUUCUCUCUCGCAAACCAUUCAUGUUCAGUACAUACAACCUACCCUAAUAUCUCAGAAUCUCGUCUCCUCUAAUUUCAAAUGUCAUCACCUUUUGUUAACCAAUAUCUUUCUUAAUCUACAUCAAGAUGGGAUCCUCAGCCUGUUUCUCCUUAACUUCAGUACAUAAGGAGGAUUUAGCUAUCUCAUGAACAAUUACUCCUCCAUCUUCAGAAUCCAAAAGUCGAACUCCUAAAUUUAUAAGCCGAUGAAUAUCCCUCACGAUCUCCUUCUUCCCUUUCUCAACAUGAGAAAGACUGCCCAUUGACAACCUGCUAAGAGUAUCGACUACCACAUUGGCCUUGCCCAAAUGAUAGUGCAGGCUCAUGUCAUAAUCCUUCAAUAAUUCUAACCAACGCCUCUGCCUGAGAUUCAGCUCUUUCUGCAAGAAAACAUACUGCAAACUUUUGUGAUCAGUAAAUAUAUCUACAUGCACCCCAUAAGGAUAAUGCUGCCAGAUCUUAAGUACAAACACUACAGCUGCUAACUCUAAGUCAUGAGUGGGAUAAUUCUUUUCACGCACGUUCAACUGCCUAGAUGCAUAAUCUACCACUUUACCAUGCUACAUAAGCACGCACCCAAGUCCCCGGGGGAUGCAUCACAGUAAACAAUGAAGCCAUUUGUACCCUCAGGAAGGGUCAAAAUCAAUGCAGUAGUCAACUUGUCUUUCAAUUUCUCAAACCUAUUCUCACAAGAUUUUGACCACAAGAAUUUUGCCUUUUUCUGAGUCAAUUUGGUAAGGGGUGCAUCUAUGGAGGAAAAGCUCUCUACAAAGAUUUUGUAAUACCCUGCCAAACCCAGAAAGCUUCGGAUAUCGGUUGGAGUCAUGGUUCUAGGCCAUUUUCUUACUACCUCAAUCUUUUGGGGGUCAACCUUAAUCCCUUCACUAGACAUAAUGUUCCCCAGAAAAGCAAUGACGCUAAGCCAGAAUUCAUAUUUUGAAAACUUUGCAUAUAAUUCAUGAUCUUUGAGGGUCUGGAGAAUGAUUCGAAGGUGAUCAUCAUGAUCCUCUUCAUUUUUAGAAUAAACCAAGAUGUCGUUAAUAAAGACUAUGACGAACAGAUCUAGAAACUGAUAAAAAAACUAUUCAUUAGGUUCAUAAAAGUUGUGGGGGCAUUAGUCACCCCGAAGGACAUAACUAAGAAUUCAUAAUGGCCAUAUCGGGUUCGGAAAGCAUUUUUGAGAAUGUUAGCCUCCCUAACCUUCAACUGAUGAUACCCCGAAUGAAGAUCUAUUUUGGAGAAACAUGUAGCACCUUGGAGUUGAUCAGAUAAAUCAUCAAUUUUGGGAAGAGGAUAUUUAUUUUUACCAGUGACCUUAUUGAGCUGACGGUAGUCUAUACACACAUGGAGAGAGUCGUCUUUCUUAAGUACAAAGAGUACAGGUGCGCCCCAGGGAGAAACACUAGGGUGGAUAAAACCCUUAUCAAGAAGGUCUUUCAACUACUCUUUCAACUCUUUUAGUUCUGUAGGAGCCAUUCUGUAUGGUGGAAUAGAAAUAGGAUGAGUGUCCAGCAAUAAGUCAAUGCCAAAAUCUAUUUCCCUGCCAGGUGGUAUCCCCGGGAGAUCAUCAGGAAAAAAUUUUGGGAAUUCAUUAACUACAGCGAUAGACUGGAGGAAAGGACUUUCGAUACCAAAAUCUUUGACUUGAAUAAGAUAAUACAAAUAACCCUUGAAUAUCAGUCUACGGGCCCUGAGAUAAGAUAUGAAUUUCCCCUUAGGUGCUAAAGAAUACCCUUCCCAUUUUGGUUCAUUUGGAAAGUAAAAAGUAACUUUUCAGUGUCUAUAGUCUAGCAUGGCAUAACACGAAUGGAGCCAAUCCUUUUCCAAAAUGGCAUUAGAAUCAAUCAUAUCAAUCUAUAAAAGAUCUACCACAGUAUCAUGAUUAUAGAAAAACACAACACAAUUCCUAUACAUACCCUAGCCAUAAUAGAGUCACCAACAAGGGUUGAAACAGAGAAAGGUUCCAAAAUAAUUUCAGGCUCAAAACCAAAACUGACGGCUACAUACGAGGUCACAUAAGACAAGGUAUAUCCUGGAUCAAGAAACACAUACACAUUACAGGAGAAAAUUUAUAAUGUACUCGUCAUAACAUCUGGCGAAGCCUCAGCAUCCUAGUUGUUAGAUAAAGCAUAUAACUGGUUGCAACCACCACCGGUAGCUGAAGUAGCGCCCUUAGGAGGAGGGGCUGUGGAUGCGGCUUGGGACUUAGCUCCCCCAAAAUUUUCUUUUGUCGAGGGACAGUCCCUCUUGAUAUGGCCUGGCUGGCCAAAGGCAUAGAACACGAGAUUACCAAACUAUCACAACCCCGGAUGAUCCUUUCCACAUUUCCUAUAACAUGGGUAUGCUCGAUAAGUCUGAGCUACACAUCCCUGAGACUGAGUGCCUAGGGCUCUAGGCCUGUCACCUGACUGGAACCGCUGUUCACCCAAAAUCCAGGGCACAAGUGCACUUGCUGAAGACUGAGCAUUACUCCAAAACUUCUUUUUAGACCACCUAUUUCCCCAAUUACCACCUUGAUACAGACUGUUAUUCUGGUCUGUAGAUCUGGCUUUCUUGGCCUGCCUGUGUUUCUCCCUGGCCUCUGCCACCCUUUUCUUCUGCUCUUCAACCUGUUGCAUAUCAACAAAAAAUCUAGAGAAAUCCAUAUCUCAAUUCAACAUCGCUCCUUUACAUUCUAGCACCAGAUCAUUCGAGAGACCAAAUGCAAACUUUCUCAUGUGAGCUCUCAUAUUACCUACCAAUUUUGGAGCAUACCUGGACAACUGAGUGAAAUUUAAUGUAUACUCUUUGACACUCAUUUUUCCUUAAUUUAAAUUAAUAAAUUCCUCAGCCUUUUGACUCCCUCAACUCCUAGGGAAAGCAACGGUCUAGAAAAGUUUCCACAAAUUCACCCUACACAGAAGGCUCAGCAUUACUACCCUUCGAGUCCUCCAAUUCAUUAUACCACUGGUUCGCUACAUACUUCAAAUGAUAGGCUGCCAACUCAACCCCUUCAACCUCAUUUGCAUACAUAACUUGGAAAAUGUUCUCUAGUUCUUCAAUGAACCCUUGGGUAUCCUCCUCAAUUUUCGUACCAAUAAACAUAGGCGGGUUCAGCCUCAUGAAUUAACCAACCCGCAUAAUCUCAGGUGAACCAAACACAGACCCUAUAUCUUCAUACAGACUAGUUUGAAAGGCCACCAGCUGAGCUAUCAUAUGGAUAGACGGUCGAAACUCAGUAUUCGUAACUUCUCUCUGAGGAGGCUGGGGAUGGUUAACACUGGUUUGUGGAGUCUAAGGUGGAUUAGCCAAAACUGGAGGAACUCUCGGAGCAGCAACAAACUUUGGGGAACGAGUUCUAUUAUGAGUCCGCAUGCCAUGAGUGGGACGAACAUCCUCAGCUUGGGUGUUUUGUUCAUUAGUUCUAUGGGGAGGCAUAAUCAAUUUUCUAAAAUACAGGGAAUCAUUGGUUAGAGGACAUUCAGACUCUACAACACGGACUAAAUCAUGAAAGAAAGAGAGAGACGUUUCUAAACGCCUUGUUUACUAGCUCAACAAUACUAGAACUAUGUUUGAGAUGGCAAAAGAACUUUGUUACAAAAAAGUGUACAAAGUCAAAGAAGGAUAUUUUUGUAAAUAAACAUUUCUUUUAUAGAAAUUAUGUAAGAUAUAUUAUUUCUAAUACAUCAAGCCAAACAAUGUAUAAGAAACAAUAUCAGCAUAACUAAUACAAGCAUUACUAAUGUAAGUACUACUAAUACACUAUAUUCUACAUUGUUCUUAUACACUCUACCAAACGACCCCUUAAGGUGGAUCAAUAUGGACAAUUGCAUGCACAUGAACUAAUAAAUCUCAUCAUAAAACUUCAAACUAAACUAUUAUAUCUUAACAAGAGGCUAAAGGUUAAAGAAUGUAAACAAAGUCUACCCCUACAUAACAUUUGUCAAGAUAUUUCCCGAAGGAGAUGAUUUUUAAGGCAUACCAAAUGUAUCAAGCAUAACAAUUAUUGAAGAGCUAACUAAAUUAUGAGAUGCCAUCCAUUCAAGACUUCUCACUGAAUGUUCUUAAACAUAUAUAAUUAGAUUAGUACUACUAGAUUCUUACCCAAACUCAAAAAUAUCGGCGGCAAAAUAGAGAAUUUCUAAUACCAUGGUCACACUAUACUUGAACUAACAAAGUACAUAUUUCGUGUAUAGUAUUCUGUCUAGCAAACCAUACACAAACAUGUUGUCAUAUUUUAUCUUAAGUGGACAUCUAAAUUGAGAUUUAGAAGUAAACAAAAUGUAUUCAGUACUCUAAAGCACCACAAUAGGCAUAUAGUAAAAGAAGAAAUAUUGUUAUAAACAAGUGUCCUAGAAAUAUCAAACAAACACAACCAUGAAAGACAAACAAGAAACAUAGGGAACAACUAAUUUAGUAUUAGUGAACAACCAAAGCCGAUCCUAGCUUCAAAAUACUAAAUUAUAAGCAUAUUUUAAGGAAGUAUUAGAGUCAGAAGGACAAAAUGAGAAAAACACUAACCUAUUUUGGUGCAGUGAACGUGAGGCGCAUGUCUCGGAUCUACUCCUUACUCCCAUAACCAUUCAAACCUCAGAUUGAGUAACGUAAAUCAACACAAAAUCGACCAAGGAAAAAGUUAAAAAUCGGGGAGACUUUUAAUUACUCCAAAAAUACUAACAACUAAAGUUUAAAGCUUUCCUAGAGGGAAACUAACAGCUAAUUCGAAAAGUUUUGGAGUAAAGAGGUGUCUGAAAAGUUUUUCAAGACCAAAGAGAUGACCAAAACAGAAAGGAAUUCCGCUCGGUCGAGAAACAAAAUAGAGUGAAGUAAACAAGUAUAUUUUUUAGCGUGAAAAAGAGUAACAACUUUCUGAGUUGUAGGAGCAAUGGCUGCCAAAAAAUGUCCUUAAAUGGAUUAUGAACGCAAGUAUCUAUAGAGAGAAAUUAGAAUUCUUCAACUUUUGAGAAAACUUCUUGAAUUCAAAAUUUAAAUUCUUGAAAGGCUCGAUUGCAGGUGAUAAUGAUGAAAUUCAAAAAUAAAAUGAUGGAUUUUUUCCCUUUCUAUUGACGUGAAGGAAGAAAGAAACGAUUUUGAGGUGGAGGAUUUGGAACCGUCGGUUUAAAGAGGUAAUGACCUCAAAAUUCAGAGGUCUUUUGAUUUUCUUCACUUCUCAGAGAUGACAGUGAUAGAUAAGAGCUUUUGUAGCUUUGAUUUGAGAAGACAAAAGGUUAUGGAGAGAGAUGACUGAAGUGACGGGGUGAGAAAAAGAUAAAAAAGUUAAGGGGAAAGGCUAAGACCAUCGAAAUUUGCCAUUAUCCAGUGGUCAGGGUUUGGUCGGUAUUUACAGAGAGUGAGAGAGAAGAGGGUUGAUGUUUUGGUUGAAGUGGAGCGAUAGAAGUAAAGGAGUAUUAGGCAUUAGGGGACUGGUUUAGUUAGGAGUGAAUUUGGGUCGGGUCAGGUUUUAGCUUUGGUUGGG
rnacentral:lncRNA from 1 species